rnacentral:rRNA from 1 species
UACGAAGGGGGCUAGCGUUGCUCGGAAUUACUGGGCGUAAAGGGCGCGUAGGCGGAUACUUAAGUCGGGGGUGAAAGCCCGGGGCUCAACCUCGGAAUUGCCUUCGAUACUGGGUAUCUUGAGUUCGGAAGAGGUGAGUGGAAUGCCGAGUGUAGAGGUGAAAUUCGUAGAUAUUCGGCGGAACACCAGUGGCGAAGGCGACUCACUGGCCCGAUACUGACGCUGAUGCGCGAAAGCGUGGGGAGCAAACAGG